AUCUCGUUUAUAAUUUUGAGUAUGUUAUAAAUUUACAGAAUGAAUAUGAAUUCUGUCGUCAUUAUUGUACAAUUAUUUCUAUUAUUAAACAUAUAAUUUAAUAACAGAUGUUUAACAUUAAACAUAUAACAAUUUACAAGUAUUUUUUAUGUAUUUAAUUAAGAACUAUAAAACGAUUAUUUUCCUCUGAAGUAUGACAAGAUCAUAUAUAAAAUAUCAAAUUGCAAAAGAUGCAGAUGAUACAUCGGAUUAUUUUCUUCAACCUAUUCAAGAAUUUUCAAAUGUAUCAAAAAAAGAAAUACCUUUUUGGAAAAAAACUUUUCAAAUUAUUAUAUUAAUUCUUUGCUAUUUUGUCUUAUCAGUAGGUUUAACAUUUUAUGUACAAUGGCUUUAUAACACAUAUGGAUUUCAUUUUCCAUUUAUUGUGGUAAUAUGUCAUUUAUUAGUAAAAUUUUUAUUAUCUGCUUUAAUAAGAUGUGUUAGAACAUGUUGGAAGAAACAACAAUUUAAACUUCCUUUCCAAAGCAUAAUAAGAAUGGUUAUGCCAGUUGGUAUAGCUAGUGGCCUUGAUGUUGGUCUAUCAAAUUGGGCAAUUUCAUUAAUUACUAUGUCAUUAUAUACUAUGACAAAAUCAACUACCAUAAUUUUUAUUCUUGGAUUUGCACUUUUUUUGAAAUUAGAAAAAAAGUCUUGGACAUUAACAUGUAUUGUGAUAAUGAUAUCAGGAGGUUUAUUUAUGUUCACCUAUAAAUCAACACAAUUUGGAAUUUUUGGAUUCAUAAUUUGUCUUUUAGCAUCAUUUUCAAGUGGUAUUCGGUGGACUAUGACACAAUUAAUUAUGCAAAAAUCUAAACUUGGAAUGAAAAGUCCAAUUGACAUGAUGUAUUAUAUGCAAUUAUGGAUGUUAUUACCCAUUGUACCAGUGAUGAUAUGGUUUGAAGGACCUCAUCUAUACAAUAGUUUUAAAAGUACAGAUUGGGAUGAUGUUCAAACUAUUGCAAUUACUACAACUGCUAUAUUUGGAAGUAGUAUUAUAGCUUUCCAUAUGGAAGUUAUGGAAUUUUUAGUUGUUACCUAUACUUCUAGUCUUACACUUUCAAUUAUUGGCAUAAUUAAGGAAAUAUGUAUCUUAAUAUUGGCUGUUGAAUGGGAAGGUGAUCAAAUGAGUGAUCUUAAUUUUAUAGGAUUGUUAAUGUGCCUUUGUGGAAUCACAAUACAUACUAUACAAAAAGCAUUAUCAAAUAGAAAUAAAAAAGCUGAAAAUUUGGAAUUACAAGUAAACUCUCUUUCAAGUAAUAAUUUAAAAACUGAAGAAGGAAUUGACACAAAUUUGCCUUUGUUAACUGAAAAAUCGACAUCGCUAACAAAUCUUUUAAACGCGGAAUUUAGUUCUGACGAAGAUGAUGUAAUUAAACAUGUUUCUAACCAGGAUGGUUGUGCAAAGUAAACACUUUCAGAUACUACAUAACCAGUGCAUAUGCUCGAUGUAAAUGCUUUAGGAAAUACAAUUAUAAACUGUCCUGGUUCUUGAACAGUUUGGCAUAGUGAUACUCCAUUACCAACUAAUAAUUCUGGCGGAACCAUUGCUGUAUCUGAAGCACCAGUAUGUAAAUAUUCUAUCCAAGGAAGACCAUGAGGAUCACGGUACCAACAACAUGCACUAAAUAACAUACCCACAUGAAGUGUUGGUACUGUUACACCUAUAAAUAGAAUUAAAAUGAUUGUAAAUAAAGCAGUAUCAAUUUAUAACUAUUUAUGUUCUAGUUAUAAAAAUUUAAGAAAAUAUUUUUAUACCCAUUAUGGGACCUAAAGCUCUUAGUACUGAGCCAGCAUUAUUAGUAAGUACUUUAAGAUUCCAUGGAUGUCUUGCGAAUGGACUAUUUUUAGCAACUGAAAAUCCAAAACCACGUCCACUUGAAUCAAUGCUUGCAGCGUGUACACAAACAUGUCGUUUCCUUUCAGCAACAUGUUUCCAAAAUGCACUUUCAACCUCAUCAGCAGAAGCACCUUCAGUUUCGUUUGCAGAUCGCUGAUUUUCACCAAACCACAUACGUUGUGUGUUACGCGCAAUGCGAUAAAAGGCAUUUAAUGGCAUGUUUCUACCCUGUAAAAUUAUAUUUCAAAAAAUUAAAUAUUUUAUAUUUUAUAUUAAAUAUAGUUAUAAUUAUGA